rnacentral:rRNA from 1 species
CGCGGCCUAUCAGCUUGUUGGUGAGGUAACGGCUCACCAAGGCAUCGACGGGUAGCUGGUCUGAGAGGACGAUCAGCCACACUGGGACUGAGACACGGCCCAGACUCCUACGGGAGGCAGCAGUAGGGAAUCUUGCGCAAUGGGCGAAAGCCUGACGCAGCAACGCCGCGUGGGGGAUGAAUGCCUUCGGGUUGUAAACCCCUUUCAGCAGGGACGAAAAUGACGGUACCUGCAGAAGAAGCUCCGGCCAGCUACGUGCCAGCAGCCGCGGUAAUACGUAGGGAGCGAGCGUUGUCCGGAAUUAUUGGGCGUAAAGAGCUCGUAGGCGGUUCGGUAAGUCGGGUGUGAAAACUCAAGGCUCAACCUUGAGACGCCACUCGAUACUGCUGUGACUUGAGUCCGGUAGAGGAGUGUGGAAUUCCUGGUGUAGCGGUGAAAUGCGCAGAUAUCAGGAGGAACACCAGCGGCGAAGGCGGCACUCUGGGCCGGUACUGACGCUGAGGAGCGAAAGCAUGGGGAGCAAACAGGAUUAGAUACCCUGGUAGUCCAUGCCGUAAACGUUGGGCACUAGGUAUGGGAUCAUAUCAACGGAUUCCGUGCCGUAGCUAACGCAUUAAGUGCCCCGCCUGGGGAGUACGG